UGAGACCUCUUGAUGGCCGCGGCCGUGAUCUUCAUUGGGAUCGGCUGAGGAACUUCCGGGCUCCAUAGAGCACGAUGGCGGAUAACGUCCGCCCAGGGUGACCUGAGAGAUAGCGCAACAGAGAACAGACCGCCCGUCCUCGACGGGUAAGGGUGAAACGGCGGUGUAAGAGACCACCGGGCCUCUGGUAACAGUAGGUCGCAUGGCAAGCCUCAUCGGGAGCAAGGCCAAGCAGAUGGCGGUAAGGGCUGCUCGCCCGUGUCAUCGGGUAGGCUGCUAGAGCCUGGCGGUAACGUCAGGUCGAGAUGGAUGGCCAUCCGUGCUGUGCGUUCGCGCACGGCACGACAGAACCCGGGGUAUAAGAGGUCUCAUUUU
rnacentral:RNase_P_RNA from 2 species